rnacentral:snRNA from 1 species
GAAUUAAGAUCUGGCUGCAACAUCUGUCACCCCAUUGAUAGCCAGGGUAGAUUCAGCUGAUCUGGUUGGCUAGGCGGGUAUCCCCUUCCUCCCUCAAUGCUCCACGUGAGUCCUUCCUGAAGCUGCACGUUCUGUUGAGAGGACAACCUUCCCUGAUAGAGAAGGACAGGUCUUUGGUCAAGGGUGUAUGAGUAGCUGUGCUCCCUUGCUAGAACCUCCAAACAAGCUCUCAAGAAUUAAUACACCUCCUAACAUUUGGCUAUUUUGGAAGACACAAGACUAUACAACAGUCAAACUAAAUAAUUGUUUAUAUUACAUAACAUUUGGUU